rnacentral:lncRNA from 1 species
CUCUGGCCAGCUUCUAAUGGUCGUCUUGUGGAGCUGCCCCAGCUGUGGCUGCAUACGGAGGAAUCCUCAACCUUGACCUCAGAGUAUUAUGAAUUUUCUGAAAUCAGGGAUAAAGAGCUGGUACUUGGAUUUACUCUCUUUUUAUUGCAUCCUCAUGUUUCUUACCAUGGACCUGGGCCUUUUGCCAAUGGAUGGAAGCCCCUGGCCAGUGAGGUCUCCUCUACAGUGUUUAGAACUUCCUGGGCAGUGAGCGCCACUGAGAUCUGAGUCAACGGAACUGGAACAAGGACCCUCAUAGCUUUUUGGUAUGUAAUUGAGAACUCUUCAGAACUAAUUCUUUCUCUUAGUGAUAUUUGUGACUUG